AACGAACGCUGGCGGCAGGCUUAACACAUGCAAGUCGAGCGCCCCGCAAGGGGAGCGGCAGACGGGUGAGUAACGCGUGGGAAUCUACCCAUCCCUACGGAAUAGCUCCGGGAAACUGGAAUUAAUACCGCAUACGCCCUACGGGGGAAAGAUUUAUCGGGGAUGGAUGAGCCCGCGUUGGAUUAGCUAGUUGGUGGGGUAAAGGCCUACCAAGGCGACGAUCCAUAGCUGGUCUGAGAGGAUGAUCAGCCACAUUGGGACUGAGACACGGCCCAAACUCCUACGGGAGGCAGCAGCGGGGAAUAUUGGACAAUGGGCGAAAGCCUGAUCCAGCAAUGCCGCGUGAGUGAUGAUGGCCUUAGGGUUGUAAAGCUCUUUUACCCGGGAUGAUAAUGACAGUACCGGGAGAAUAAGCUCCGGCUAACUCCGUGCCAGCAGCCGCCGUAACAC
rnacentral:rRNA from 1 species